rnacentral:sRNA from 1 species
AAAAAGAAGAAGAUAAUAAA